UUAGGGUGCUUUCACAUUAGGGACCCGGGCCUGGAUCCGAGUACACCUGACCCCAAAAUCCAGUUUGUUUGAUUAGUGUGAACGCUCCGUACCGCACUCUGGCACGGUUUGUCGAUCCUAACCACUAUGAAAA